AUUGAACGCUGGCGGCAGGCCUAACACAUGCAAGUCGGGCGAGCGGCGGACGGGUGAGUAAUGUAUGGGGAUCUGCCUGAUGGAGGGGGAUAACUACUGGAAACGGUAGCUAAUACCGCAUACCAUCAGAUGAACCCAUAUGGGAUUAGCUUGUAGGUGGGGUAACGGCUCACCUAGGCGACGAUCCCUAGCUGGUCUGAGAGGAUGAUCAGCCACACUGGGACUGAGACACGGCCCAGACUCCUACGGGAGGCAGCAGUGGGGAAUCUUCGGCAAUGGACGAAAGUCUGACCUAGCCACGCCGCGUGAGUGAAGAAGGUUUUCGGAUCGUAAAACUCGUUCGUCAGAGAGGCGGUAUCUGAACAGAAAGCAACGGCUAACUACGUGCCAGCAGCCGCGGUAAUUC
rnacentral:rRNA from 1 species